rnacentral:rRNA from 1 species
UACGGGGGGGGCAAGCGUUGUUCGGAUUUACUGGGCGUAAAGGGCGCGUAGGCGGCGUGACAAGUCACUUGUGAAAUCUCCGGGCUUAACUCGGAACGGUCAAGUGAUACUGUCGUGCUAGAGUACAGAAGGGGCAACUGGAAUUCUCGGUGUAGCGGUGAAAUGCGUAGAUAUCGAGAGGAACACCUGCGGCGAAGGCGGGUUGCUGGGCUGAUACUGACGCUGAGGCGCGAAAGCUAGGGGAGCGAACGGG